rnacentral:lncRNA from 1 species
UUGAAUUACAAUAGAGCUCCCUCCCCAAUGAAGUGGGGUUAGUUGAUCAUGGCUCUGGAUGAAAUUGAAAAUGUAAAGUGCAUCUUGAAACAAACUAAUUACAGAGAAGAGUAAAUGGUGAGUGUUUACAAUCCUAUAUCCUUUCCAGGUUCCAAUUCCUUUUCUAGUUCAAAACUACUCCUAUAUAUACUACUUCUCUAAUCUUCAUUUGAAUCUGCAAGUAUCUGGAUGUGGGCCCUUGGCCUUGGUUGAAGCAGUUAACAAACUCAUUGGGCUUUGCUCAGCUUGCUGGAGGAGUUUAAGUUAGGCAGUAGUCACGUUAGUUAGGCCAUUAGUGUGAGUAACGUGAUGUGUAUUUUCAUGGCUCGAAGACAUUAGUGACACCAACGUGGUCACUAACGUCCCCAAAACCCCUUGAAUUCACAUUACUCCUAGCAUCAGUGGCACUAACAUGGCCACUAAUGCCACACCUUGCCUAAGCCCACGUUAAUGGUGGCGUUAAUAGCACUAACGUGGCACUAACGUCACUCAAUCUUCACCAUCGCUGGCGUUAAUGGCAUUAACGCCACCACUAACGCCAGGCCUGCCUUCUUCCACGUGAAUGCCCACGUUGGUGGCAUUAACGUAGCCACUAACGUGGCUUUCCUUGACUUUGCAUUAACCAUCGAGGACGUUAGUGGUAUCAACGCCACCACUAACGCCACAACCUGCCCCUCUUCAACGUUAAUGGCUCACGUUAGUGGCACUAACGUGGCUCUUUCCUGCCUCGAGGACGUUAGUGGUAUCAACGCCACCACUAACGCCACAAGCUCCCACUUUUCCACGUUAAUGGCUCACGUUAGUGGCACUAACGUGGCUCUUCUCUGCUUCUUCUUACCUGAAAUCAAUCAAACAAUUUUGCAUCAAAGCCUUACUCUAAGCAUAAAAUAAUGCAUCAUUUAUUACAUCAUUUAAUCUUUGCAUUAUUCUCAUGAAAUUGUUUAGAAUUCAUAAUAAUCAAGACAUGAAUGCAUAACUCAUCCAAUUGCUUGCUUAUUACAUAUGAAAAUGCAUGAAACUAACCUAAAACAUACUUAAAAUGGCUUGUGGAACUAGCCAAGAUGCCCUGGCAUCACUAAGCCAAUUAGUAGUUAGAUUGGGACUUAUGAGUUGAAUUUGAUCAAGCCUAUUUGACAUACUUCACUUGUAGAAGUGGAUUUGAUGGGCUUGGUUCCUCAUAAUUGUCAAUAUAUGGUUGUUAGACAAGGAUGGUGAUCCCAACUCCUAUGCCUUAGCCAAGAGUCCUUUUUAUAACUCAUACUUGAAACCCAAAAAUCCCGAUUACUUGACUCUUGUUAUAGUUAGUUUAGUUGUUUACUUAGUUCUAGAAUAGAAAUAGAUUUAUAUAUUAUCUUGUUAAAUUGCACUUACUUAUACCUUACUUUGAUUGCUUUGAUUUAGUUUCUUGCACUUUAAGUUUCUUGCAUGAUAAGCUGCGUUAGUUUAAAUUCCUGCUCAUAUAUCUUUCAACACUGGAAUUCUAACCAAUCUUGAUGCACAUGCUUACUCAUUCUCUUGAGGAUGACCCGAGACUAAUACUCUCGGUUACUUUUUACUGGGGUUGAAUUUGUGACAAUCAUAUUAAAAUUUGAUAGAGUGGUUAUUUGUCGGUUUAGGACUAUACUAUGACAUGAUCUUUGUUGAUAAAAUCUAGAUCGACAAAAAUCUAUCCAUCACCAACAUUUUCUGAAACUAUUUCCAACGGUUGUAAACCCAAAUCAUUCCUUACUUUAGAAGUAUAAAUCAAACUUUCAAAUAUUAAACCAUUUUCUUGAUGUGUAUAAAUAUGUAAACCAAAUCUUUUCUCAACAUAGAAUCACUUCUCAAAAUAAGCUUGUAAGUUGUAAAUCGGAUUUCUAGUACAAAGUUCGUUUCUUAAUAUAUAUAAAUUAGAUUUCUAAAAUAAAAUCACUUUUUGUACAUUUUUACUAAAAUUUGGACAGAACUUCCCCUAAAAAUUAGACUUCACCACCCUUACGGACUCCUUCUCUUUCAUCAUUCCUUAACUUAUCUCAAUCCAAACCAGCACUCAUUUCAGAAUCAACCAAAUUAAUUAAUAAAUCAGUCAAGCCAGCAAUUUCAUCCAUCCCACACAAUUCUGAUCAAUAUACUAUUCUCAUCACAAUCAGCUAGAAAUCAUAAUUUUUAGCAUUUUCAAACUUUCAGAACCAAACACAUAUUUUAUUAAAUUCAAUUAUUUUCACAGUCACAAAUCCAACACAAAUUUAUUAUUCAACCAAUCUAAACAUUAAUAAAUUAUUUGUAAUUACUCAUUAAACUUUUGAGCAUCCAUGAAUUAAAAAUUUAUAAUCUUAAAACGAACCCCUUACCUUAAUUAACCGAGUUCACAUAGAUUAAACAUGACAAGUCCCUUCCCUUUUAGUUUCAUGUCAGCAGUGGCAACUCCCAUGCAACCGGAACGACAGCAAUGUUAGCUCUCACAGCAGUAAUCAUGGUUGCAGCAAAAUAGAAGAUUCAAAUUGGAUGGAAAUUAAAAGAAAUUACAGCCCUAGAAAUUUCAAGACAAGGUAUAUACCAGAAUCAAUUCAGAACAAGCUUAGAAAUGACAAUAAAAUGUGUAAAUGAACCCGAAUCAAAGAAAAUGUUAGAACAAGCAUAGAAAUGACAAUAAAAUGUGUAAACCAAAUCAAAGAAAAUGUCAGACUGUAACUAUUAGCAACAGCUCCAGUGUUGGCUCCCAGUGGCAGAGGUAUGGCGAUGAAAGCAGCUAUGGAAGGUGAUGGCGGCUCUGCGAUAAACUCCAGCGAAGCUCCCCCUUCUCGAUUCUGUUUGGCGAGGGUAGUAGUUCAAACAAAAUGGUGACGGUCAAAUCUCUGAUAGCAAGCCCUAGCGGUUACGAUAGUGUUUGGCGGCGUUGACUCCUUCAAUGGCAGCGACAACUGGUGCAACAGCAGCGACGACUCUAACUGCUUCCAACAGCGAUGAGAUCUCCUUCUAGUGGCGGACAGCGGUGACUCUAUUUGCUUCCAGUGACGGGCAUGAUUGCGAUGGCUAGGUUUUGAUAGCGACGGCCACACUACCCACGACGGCGGCGCUGAAACGACAGCGACGGAACCCUCAGCGGCGGUCGUGGAUCCAACGACGGUGACAGCUUGGUGGCUUCGAUAGCAGCUUUCUCUCUGUCGCGCUUAGCUUUCUCUCUCACUCCACUGCGAGCCUUUCUCUUCCCUCGUGCAACAAUGGCAACGACAAUGGCGGCGAGGCUCUAGCCUGCGCCAUUCCUUCCUCCUCCCUUUCUUCCCUUCCCUCCGAACCCCCUUUUUUGUCUUUCCCUUUUGCUUUCUAUGCUUAUGUUUCAUUUCAGAAAC